UUGCAACACCAAGCAUCUUAGGAAGAUAUUUCAGUAAUAACACAGUAUACUUGAAUUUUAUGGAACCAUUAGAUACAGGCAUUAUGCAGAUUGAAGUUUGUCAAGAUAUGCAUGCCACAUCUGUCAUAAGCAAAGGCAAGCAUAAAAUAUUUGGUAUUUUUUGAUAAGAAGUCUGUCCCCCACCCCUUUCCAUCCCCAUAGCCCUCCCUAACCCCUCAAACAAGUUUGGAGGCCUAUUGGGAAUCGGGGUUUUUUGGGGGGAUGAAAAUAAGUGAAAUAAGGGUGUUAAAGGAUCUAAGGAAAUUUACCCUAAUAUUUUGAAUUUCCCUAACCUAUCCUAGCCCCUAGACCCCUUCUGCUUGGACGUUAAUGUAACCUAGCAUAACCUAACCUAGCUGGUGGGGCUGUGCCUCCCCUGGAACCCCCUCCCCCAGUAGGACGUUAACCUAACCUAGCAUAACCUAACCUAACCUAGCAUAACCUAACCUAAUGAGGGACCUCAAAAAUUAUACUGUUAUGCCUUACCAGUAUGGUGUGGAGAUUCUCAGGGCAAUGGAGGUGGAUACAGUUUGGCGGCUUCCUUAAACAUGGAACCUCUUCAUUAUGUCUGUAUAUUGUAUCUUAACCAUUGCUGUUGCUAAAUAUCUCACAUAGUGACUUCUUUUCCUGCUGAACACUGGCACUAUUUGCUUUACAUCCCUCUAUUGGGUAGCCAUAUUAACAAAUGACAGUGAGCCUUUAUCAGAACACCUGACAUGUCUCUAAAACAAAUGAAAAGUGCAACUGAACCUACUGUAGAAAGUCAUAAUUGGCAGCCUCAGGAAUGGCCUUACAAGUGGCAGCGUGUGAUUGGAGGGAUCAGCUGUAUAGAUACCAGGAAAUCCUAAUAUACCACUACCCACAAAUCCCAGUUAUAAACAAAAGGAAAUUAUUUCAGUGUUUACUCUUGACUGGUGCAGAGCUCACUGGACUUAGAAAAUAUCAAAUAUCUCCACACUCGCGAGUGUUAUUACAGCCAUACUAGUCACGUGCCCCCUUGUUUUUUUACAGCAAGGUCACUGAACCCUUCUCCAUGACUUGUGAGUUUCGUGCUUGUAGGUAAUACGGACGUGAUAUCCAGAUUAACAAAAUAUUCAUGUACCACAUACUUGUUUUACUUUUUACCACUCAAAUGUACUAUGUAAAUUAACAUUAUGAAACACUUAUUUUAUGGAUGGUAUGAUGUUUAUUGUAUGUAUUUGGAACUGAACUCACUUAAAUUCAAGCAGGUGAAAGAAAUGCCUGAUGGAAGUCCAAGGAAUGGAGACAGCUUUUCCUGCAAAUUUACCUGCGAUGGCAGUGACUUCUAGGACAUGAGGCAUCAUGUUGCCAGUCAGUCUGGUGCUGCUGCAGUGACUGGAAACAUCCAGGUUCCUGACCAGAACUUGUAGUACAUUGACCUUCAAGAUCAGCAUGAUGUCUGCAAAACCUGAGCAGUUGACUGAUCUUCCAUGGCAAGACAUCAUCUUUCAACACAUAUUUCCCCACCUUUCUGUGGCAGAACUGUGUCGACUCUGUGCAGUCUCCAAGAGCUUUCAGAAAGUUUCAAAUGAAUAUUUUUAUACUUGCAAACAAUUGGACUUUUCUAACUACACUAUGACUGAUGAUAACUUUCAAAAGAUAAUUUCUCAUUGUAGAAAUCUUCAGUGGUUAUCAGUUGCUGGCUGUUCAUGGCUCAGUGAUGCUCCUCUUAUGAUUGUCUUCAAGCAGAACCAAAACUUAGUACAUGUAGACCUCAGCAAAUGUGUUAACCUUAAUGGAGGAGCUUUGCAGGUCCUGGCAGUCAGGUGUAAGAAGCUGAAGUCACUGCUAGUAGAGGGCUGCCCAUGGCUUACUGGUGGAAGUCUGCAGGUUCUGAUGUUGCAUCAAACAGAACUGCACUAUAUAAAUGUUAGUGGCUGUUGGAGUAUAGAGGACCAAGACCUUGUACAGUUUUUCCAGAAAUUUACAAAGUUAAAAGAAGUGAGACUGAAUCAAGUAGAACAUGUAACUGAUGCCAGCCUUUACCAUCUUGCCUUAAACUGCAAGAAACUGGAGAUACUGGAGUUAUCAGGCUGCUGGAGGAUCACAGACAAGGGAAUUAAGAAGACAUGAUCAAGAGGAGAAAGUAUGUUGAUCGACUUCAUAUCAACAUACAAAUUUAGGAGUCUUCUUUUGGGGCUCCACACACAACCAGAGGAAGCCAAGAUUGCUGGCCUCAUUUAUUUACAGAACCACAAGACUGAAGAAAGCAGGAUUGAUGGCCUUCUGAUCCUGCUGGGCAAUAACAGUAAAAAAAGGCCAUCUGAGGGUUACACCAUGUUACUUCUCAGUUAUGAGCUGAACACUGACCAGUUUUAAUUUAUUUAGUGUUCACAAAUAAACUGUAUUGCUGCAAAUUAGACAUCCUGCAUUAAUAGAGCUGCUUGCACCAUCCCAGCAAAAAUUGAGAUAGCUGUGUAUAACACUCUAUUGAGCUCUUAACUUUUGAGUGGGAGUGGGUGAAUUCCGAAGGCAAGGAUGAACGUUGCCUAAAAGAGAAAAGGUUCAUUGGACUAUUGAUGAAGGUGUAAUGCUGCUGAGCAAUUUUCCAUGUUAGAAGGUUACCAUCCAAAUGAGUAGUCCUCAUAAUGCAGAAAAAUUUCCAGGGUUAAUACACAUUGUAACAACAGCUCAACCAGUGCAGGGAAUGCAUCAGCCAAUCAGAGUAAUCCCUGUCAAGUUAUAGCUCAGCUAACUGGCUAGUGGCAAUUUUUACCAUUUUUCACUUCUUAUUAAUAUUGUUUUUCUUUGUUUAACUAUUCAUGAAAUCAUUAACUGAAAACUCAUUCAGAAUUUAGUAUAACUUCUGAAGCCAUAAUACAGGUUGUAAGAAAAGUAUUUAUGUAAUGAAUGUCAUUACAUGAUUACAUGAAACAUUGACAUCAUGAUCCUGAAUCAUUUAGUAGAAGUUUGCCAAAGUUUGAGCACAUUUUCCCAUUUUUUUAAAUUUUGGUGCAAGCAGCUCUUCUGAUGCAGGACACCUCAGGGAUACUUAUGCUAAGAUAAUUAUCAGUUUGAUGUCUUGAAGCAGUAUUUUUGAUAUAUUAAUUUAAUUAAGUGAGUUACAGAUAAUGUGCUAAGCACGUGUAUCACACCAUUAGUGCAUGUUGUAUCAAUAGUGGCAGAAAUUGUAGGUAUGUUAAUGAUCUAAUAAAUAGAUUUUUAAAGUUUUAUUGAACAUUCAACUUGAACAACUGUUGCAUUUAAUAGUUUCUAAAAUGUGCACCACAUGGGCACAUAAUUCAAGAUGACAGAAGAUCAAUACAAAACAUGGAUUGUAAAAAAUGUAAUUGUUCAACUACAUGAUGGCAUCUCUUAAAGAAACUCCAUUUCUCUUUCAAUGCCAACAAAUUUCAAUUGUUCUGUUGGUCCAUAUCUGCAAGAAAGAGUUACAGUUAUUAGAAUAUUUAAAAAAUGCAAAGCAACUUGACUUACUCGGCAAUAGGUCAUAUCUGUAAUGAAGCACCACAAAACUUGGCAGUUUACAUUUAAGAAUUGAGGAAAUACUUUCCUUCUUUAUUUUCAGAUAACUAAAUAAUCAACUAGGCCAAGGAGACCAUCUCAACAUAAGUGUUCAUUUCAGCCAUUCAGCCUUUGACAGUCAAACAAUAAAUUUCUGGCUUUAUCUGUAUGGUGUCCAUUAGUUGUGAAUCAUCAGAUCAGCUAUUUUUUCUAGUUUGAUCUAGUAUGCUUUUGAAAUGUACAACCUUGAAACAACACAUUCUCAAAAUAAUGUACAUAAACUAUAUCCAUAAAAUAUUGAAAAACA